rnacentral:sRNA from 1 species
CAUUAAAACAUGUAUAAUAUCAUAUUAGAAAUGAAUCGCCAGUCCAGGUUCCAUGCAGGAUAAGAGAAGCUUGGGGCUGGUGCACUGAGAUGACCCAGAAGGAUGGUAUGGCUAAGGAGGUAGGAGGGGGUUCAGGAUGGGGAAAAUGUGUACACCUGUGGUGGAUGCAUGUUGAUGUAUGGCGAACCACUACAAUAGUGUAAAGUAAAAAAUAAUAAGAAUAAAAUAAAUAAAUACAUAAAUACAGAAAUGAAAACAAAAAACCAAAAUUGCUAACUCUUUUGUGUGGAUGAAAAAUGUCAAAUAGCACACCAUAUCUGGAAGAAAAUACCAACAGGUAAAUACAGUUCUCAGUAUUUAUUUAAAAGCACAUAAAAUACACUCAUUAUAGUGAAUUACUAAGAACUCUUUUAGCUUCACCUUUUUGUGAUCCCGGAGACCAUAGCCCAACAAGUUCCUCUGUCCUUGGAAUUUUCCAGGCAAGAAUUCUGGAGUGAGUUGCCAUUUCCUCCUCCAGGGGAUCUUCCCAAAUCACAUCUCCUUUGACUCCUGCCUUUGCUGGAAGAUUCUUAACAACAGUGCCACCUGAGAAGCCCAGUGUAUUACAUAGAUAAUCCAACUAUGCUAAUGAGUUAUCACCUCUGAGUAGUGAAAAAGUACCAAAUACUAUACAGAGAAGACAUGGUAGAGAAACAUUGUUAAAGGGGAAUCUUUAUGGUACUAGUGAGAUAUAUUUGGUAGGAGUCAUUAUAAAUGUCACUACUAAGUGCCCUUUUUUUUUUUUUUUUUUUUUUUUUUUUUUUU